rnacentral:lncRNA from 1 species
AUAAUAGAUGCAGAGACCCACAGUCAAACAUUAGAUGUAGCUUGGGAAGUAUUUUUCAAAUGUUGGGGGAAUCAUUGAGAAAACCAGAGGGGAGAGGGACUUUGCAGGAAGACUAACAGAGUCAAAUAAUCUGGACAUUGGGGGGUUGCAGAGACUGAACCACCGAUCAAAGAAAAUACAAGGACUGAACCUAGAAAAUAAUAAAUCAAUGUUGAAUAUACAUCUAACAAUCAUGUCAAAAAGCCCAAUGAUCCCAAUGCUCACAGAGGCAUCUAUUUGAGCCCAUUCUACUUUGAAAGCAUAAAGACAAAGAAGGUGCCCAGAAGAUAAACUGAUGGUUCUGGCUUUCUUUGAAACAAAGAGAACGUAAUAUGACAAAAUGAAAUUGACUACAAGUCUCCUGGGUCAAGUCAUCUAAUUGGAAGAGGAUUUAUCUGCCAGAAAGUCAUUUGACUUAUUUUCUUUUACUUAUAAAGCUUUUUAA